rnacentral:lncRNA from 1 species
CAGCAGUAAGAAUCACCAUUUGAGUUGUCUCCUUUUACAAGAGGGUUAGAGUUGGUGAUGCGGUUACCAAGUUGACUCUUCUCCAAUCAUGCUGACAUGAGGUCCUCAACUUGGGUCCUGCCUUCUUUCUGCCCACCUUGCCCUUAAAGUCCUUGAGUUCUGAUUCAGUGCUUUGGAUUCAUCAGCUAAGUAGUGUCCUUGAGGAAGCAAAUGACCCAGGAUUUUUCUGAAGAAAAUGAUGAUCUGUUAUCUGAGAGAGGGAAGCUCUUUGGCCACCAGGCAAAACCUCAGAUGAAGGAAGACUGCAGUAGAAGCGAUGAGCAGUGUCCUUUCUGCAUGGCUGGACCAAGAUUAGAGUCAAAGUCACUGUAUCUUCUACUAUUUUCUUCUUGAUUUGCAUCCAGAAUUGUCUCUGUACUAACUAGAUUUUUAUUAAAAGGAAGUGGAAUAGUAAGAUAUAAAUUUCCACUUAUAAAAUUAGCAUAUAGGUGGGAGUAUUACAGUUUUCAUGAAAAGCAAUUUGAGAGACUGUUAAGAACUUAAAAGAUGAACAUAGAUACCUAUCCUAAGGAAAUAAUUAGAGAGACCAAUUAACAUAUCGACAGGGCUAUUUAUCAUUCUGAAUAAUUGAAAAACUAAAUGUAUAAUGUCCAACAUUAGAUGAAUGAAUAAAUAAAUUAUAGCAUACUAAUAUAAUUACAGUAUACUCAGA